GGGGAGUCCUAAUGAGUGGGUUGGGUAAUUGGCCGUGUAAAUUGGGGAGAAAAUGGGAUAAGCUUUUAAUGUAGACUUGAAGGAAGCGUAAAACACAGCUAAGCUUUGUCUAGUGGUUAAAACUAAGGCUAAAACAAAGGGACAAAAAAGAAAAAAAAAAACAAGGACAAUGAAACAGGGUGACACAUACAUUUAAAGAGAGAAUCUACACAAAAUAAAAGUAUGAUAUAAUGUGAUGAGAUAAUCAUAAUCAUUUUGUUUUCUCUCUGUUCAGACAGCAUUGAGGACUACAUACAGACCACCGGCUCACACGUGGAGUCUGCUAACCAGGAGCUCGCAAAGGCCAGCCAUUAUCAGAGGCAGCUGAGAAAGAGGAAAUGCUAUCUGCUGAUAGCUGGAGCACUCAUACUGACUCUACUGAUCAUCAUCAUUGCUUUAUCAGCCAGAAAAUGAGGGAAAACAUCUAGCUGCUGGUUCCUGCUCCGCUGUGAUCUCUGCUCAGCCUCCGUCGGGCCGUCCGUUCCCUCACCCUCCUCCUGCCUCCGACUUCUCUCCUGUGUGCUUGCUCUUUUAUCUGUGUUGGGAAUAAUGUGAGAAUGUGUGUGAACAUUUUACGUACAUUUUAGGUAUUUUUAAUGAACACUGUUUUUACUGUCCUGCUCUAUACCUCUCCUGUCUGAGCUCAUAUCAAAGAACAAAAAUUCCAAACUGAUAUUAUUUUUGUUUUUGCUUUGUGUCAGUACCUUAAUAUUAACUAGAUCCACAUAUAUAUUCAGUAGUAAAAUAAAAAAAAUACAUGUCUACAUUCUUUUUUUUUUCUAGAGCACAAAAUAACAUAUAUAUGGUGACA
rnacentral:lncRNA from 1 species